CUGAAAAAACAGUCGCCAUGUUUGCAAUCGUUGAAGUGAUUGUUUUGUUUUUAGUUCCGCGUUGGACUCGCUAGUAAGUUAAAUAAAACUGCCCUGGAUUACUUGAAAAUACAAAUUAAAAGAGUGGUUGAAGAGCAACUUUAUGUUAUUUGAGAUCAAAAGCAGCAGCAGUUCCGCUGCAGACAGAAAUUCAUCGGCUGACUCAACGGAAUCCUAAAUUUAUUUGUCUCCAGAUGCCGUCACGUCUUUGGGAUGAUCCGGAACUUCCUACAUUUGUUGCAUCAAGAGGUUUGUGUCAGUUCCGAAAUGUCCGAGGAAAAAAUACCAGCACUAAAAUAACAGCAGAUUGGAAAGCGUGCUGUUGAAACAUUACGGGAAAAGCAGCAGCGUACCAUCCGCAACUGUGGUAUCAGAG